rnacentral:lncRNA from 1 species
CUCUGAAGAGAAUAAAAUAGUCCACUUAAAGCAACACCAGAAGUCUCUUGGGAUAUGUGAGGACAAUAGCUCCCUGUGUGUGCUGGAGACCUUGGACAAAGUCCCCAAGUCAUAUCCAUACCUACAAGUGGGCUCAACCUACUCCAAGGCACCCUCUUCUGGUGAGAAUCACAGGCCUAGAAGGAAAGAAGGGGAUGUCUAUCAGCUGCCAUGC